UACGAAGGGGGCUAGCGUUGCUCGGAAUCACUGGGCGUAAAGCGCACGUAGGCGGCGGCGUAAGCGGGAUGUGAAAGCCCAGGGCUCAACCCUGGAAGUGCAUCCCGAACUGUGUCGCUUGAAUCUCGGAGGGGGACAGAGAAUUCCCGGUGUAGAGGUGAAAUUCGUAGAUAUCGGGAGGAAUACCAGUGGCGAAGGCGCUGUCCUGGACGAAGAUUGACGCUGAGGUGCGAAAGCGUGGGGAGCAAACAGG
rnacentral:rRNA from 1 species